AUUGAACGCUGGCGGCACGCCUAACACAUGCAAGUCGAGCGGUAACAUGGUUAGUAGCAAUACUAACUGAUGACGAGGGGCGGACGGGUGAGGAAAACGUAGCAACCUACUAUGAAGAGGUGGAUAACUGAGGGACAAUUUAGCUAAUACCGCAUAAACUCGAGAGAGGAAAGCUGCCGCAAGUGGGCACCUAGUGCGGGGGAUGCGGCCGAUUAGCUAGUGGGUGAGGUAAGAGCUCACCAAGGCGAUGAUCGGUAGCUGGUCUGAGAGGACGACCAGUCACACUGGGACUGAGACACGGCCCAGACUCCUACGGGAGGCAGCAGUGGGGAAUCUUGGACAAUGGGGGCAAGCCUGAUCCAGCGAUGCCGCGUGGGUGAAGAAGGCCUUCGGGUUGUAAAGCCCUUUAGGUUGGGACGAAGAUAGCAUGGGGAUAAUCCAUGUUGCUUGACGGUACCGAAAGAAUAAGCACCGGCAAACUCUGUGCCAGCCGCCGCGGUAACAC
rnacentral:rRNA from 1 species